rnacentral:rRNA from 1 species
UGGGGAAUCUUCCGCAAUGGGCGAAAGCCUGACGGAGCAACGCCGCGUGAGUGAUGAAGGUUUUCGGAUUGUAAAGCUCUGUUAUUCGGGAAGAAAGGUACUCUUGAAAAUAUUGGGAGUAAUUGACGGUACCGAAGGAGAAAGCCACGGCUAACUACGUGCCAGCAGCCGCGGUAAUACGUAGGUGGCAAGCGUUAUCCGGAAUUAUUGGGCGUAAAGGGCGUGUAGGCGGGAUAAUAAGUCUAUUGUAAAAAUGCGAGGCUCAACCUCGUAGAGCGAUGGAAACUAUUAUUCUUGAGUAUCGGAGAGGAAAGCGGAAUUCCCAGUGUAGCGGUGAAAUGCGUAGAUAUUGGGAAGAACACCAGUGGCGAAGGCGGCUUUCUGGACGAUCACUGACGCUGAGGCGCGAAAGCCAGGGGAGCGAACGGG